UUUAGCGACAUCGCCAUGGGCAGUGAUCUUGCCAAAUUUCACUUGUUAAGCAGGACGAACCCUGAUCAAUACUUGGAUGGGAGACCCCCAGUGAGCCCCCAGCCUGCUAAAG
rnacentral:rRNA from 1 species